GGGCUGCUUACCAUGCAGUCGACGGCAGCGCGGGAGCAAUCCUGGCGGCRAGUGGCGAACGGGUGAGUAAUACAUCGGAACGUGCCCAAUCGUGGGGGAUAACGCARCGAAAGCUGUGCUAAUACCGCAUACGAUCUACRGAUGAAAGCAGGGGAUCGCAAGACCUUGCGCGAAUGGAGCGGCCGAUGGCAGAUUAGGUAGUUGGUGAGGUAAAGGCUCACCAAGCCUUCGAUCUGUAGCUGGUCUGAGAGGACGACCAGYCACACUGGGACUGAGACACGGSCCASACUCCUACGGGAGGCASCMSUGGGGAAUUUUGGACAAUGGRCGAAAGCCUGAUCCASCCAUGCCGCGUGCAGGAUGAASGCCUUCGGGUUGUAAACUGCUUUUGUACGGAACGAAACGGCCUUUUCUAAUAAAGAGGGCUAAUGACGGUACCGUAAGAAUAAGCACCGGCUAACUACGUGCCAGCAGCCGCGGUAAUACGUAGGGUGCAAGCGUUAUCGGAAUUACUGGKCGUGAGCGUGCGCACGCGGUAAUGUAAGACAGUUGUGAUAUCUCUGAUCUCACCUGGCACUGCAUCUGUGACUGCAUUGCUGGAGUACGGCAGCUGGAGAUGGAAUUCGCGUGUAGCAGUGCACUGCGUASAUAUGCGKACGACACAKAUGGMGAAGCMUCUSCUGACUGUACUGACGCUCAUGCACKAACGCGURGCAGCAACAGAUAGAUACCUGUAGWCACGCCUAACGAUGUCACUGAAUGAUGGUSUCACUGACUCAGUACGMGCUCACGCGUGAGUGACGCUGUGAGUACUGCCGCUAGUGA
rnacentral:rRNA from 1 species